rnacentral:rRNA from 1 species
GCUAGCGGCAGGCCUAAUACAUGCAAGUCGAGGGGUAACAGGAAGUGCUUGCACUUCGCUGACGACCGGCGCACGGGUGAGUAUCGCGUAUACAAUCUGCCUCAUACUAGGGAAUAGCCCGAAGAAAUUUGGAUUAAUGCCCUAUAGUAUCUUUUUAAGGCAUCUUAUUAAGAUUAAAGGUUACGGUAUGAGAUGAGUAUGCGUUCUAUUAGCUAGUAGGUGUGGUAACGGCACACCUAGGCUACGAUAGAUAGGGGCCCUGAGAGGGGGAUCCCCCACACUGGUACUGAGACACGGACCAGACUCCUACGGGAGGCAGCAGUAAGGAAUAUUGGACAAUGGGCGAAAGCCUGAUCCAGCCAUGCCGCGUGCAGGAUGACUGCCCUAUGGGUUGUAAACUGCUUUUAUAUAGGAAGAAAAAUUUUCUCGUGAGAAAACUUGACGGUACUAUAAGAAUAAGGAUCGGCUAACUCCGUGCCAGCAGCCGCGGUAAUACGGAGGAUCCAAGCGUUAUCCGGAAUCAUUGGGUUUAAAGGGUCCGUAGGUGGACAAAUAAGUCAGAGGUGAAAUCCUGCAGCUCAACUGUAGAACUGCCUUUGAUACUGUUUGUCUUGAGUUAUUAUGAAGUGGUUAGAAUGUGUAGUGUAGCGGUGAAAUGCAUAGAUAUUACACAGAAUACCGAUUGCGAAGGCAGAUCACUAAUAAUUAACUGACACUGAGGGACGAAAGCGUGGGUAGCGAACAGGAUUAGAUACCCUGGUAGUCCACGCCGUAAACGAUGGUCACUAGCUGUUUGGACUUCGGUCUGAGUGGCUAAGCGAAAGUGAUAAGUGACCCACCUGGGGAGUACGUCG